rnacentral:rRNA from 1 species
GGGCCGUGCAGCGCGAACUGUGAGACUUGAGUGCGCGGAAGGCAGGCGGAACUCGUGGUGUAGCGGUGAAAUGCUUAGAUAUCACGAAGAACUCCGAUUGCGAAGGCAGCCUGCCGCAGCGCAACUGACGCUGAGGCUCGAAAGCGCGGGUAUCGAACAGGAUUAGAUACCCUGGUAGUCCGCGCGGUAAACGAUGGAUGCCCGCCGUGGGGGAGUUAUUUUCCGCGGCCAAGCGAAAGCGUUAAGCAUCCCACCUGGGGAGUACGCCGGCAACGGUGAAACUCAAAGGAAUUGACGGGGGCCCGCACAAGCGGAGGAACAUGUGGUUUAAUUCGAUGAUACGCGAGGAACCUUACCCGGGCUUGAAUUGCAGGAGAACGAUCCAGAGAUGGUGAGGCCCUUCGGGGCUCCUGUGAAGGUGCUGCAUGGUUGUCGUCAGCUCGUGCCGUGAGGUGUCGGCUCAAGUGCCAUAACGAGCGCAACCCCCGCCCGCAGUUGCCAUCGGGUGAUGCCGGGCACUCUGCGGGGACUGCCGCCGCAAGGUGCGAGGAAGGCGGGGACGACGUCAAAUCAGCACGGCCCUUACGUCCGGGGCUACACACGUGUUACAAUGGGGUGUACAGAGUGUUGUGCCCGCGCAAGCGGGUUCGAAUCAUGGAAGCACCCCUCAGUUCGGACUGGGGUCUGCAACCCGACCCCACGAAGCUGGAUUCGCUAGUAAUCGCGCAUCAGCCAUGGCGCGGUGAAUACGUUCCCNNNCNUUGUACACACCGCCCGUCAAGCCAUGAAAGCCGNNNNNNNNNGAAGUCCGUGACCGCGAGGGUCGGCCUAGGGCGAGACCGGUGAUUGGAAAUGAGUCGUAACAAGGUAACCA